rnacentral:rRNA from 1 species
ACUGGCGGCGGCCUACACAUGCAAGUCGAGCGGAUGACAGGAGCUUGCUCCUGAAUUCAGCGGCGGACGGGUGAGUAAUGCCUAGGAAUCUGCCUGGUAGUGGGGGAGAACGUUUCGAAAGGAACGCUAAUACCGCAUACGUCCUACGGGAGAAAGCGGGGGACCUUCGGGCCUUGCGCUAUCAGAUGAGCCUAGGUCGGAUUAGCUAGUUGGUGAGGUAAUGGCUCACCAAGGCGACGAUCCGUAACUGGUCUGAGAGGAUGAUCAGUCACACUGGAACUGAGACACGGUCCAGACUCCUACGGGAGGCAGCAGUGGGGAAUAUUGGACAAUGGGCGAAAGCCUGAUCCAGCCAUGCCGCGUGUGUGAAGAAGGUCUUCGGAUUGUAAAGCACUUUAAGUUGGGAGGAAGGGCAGUAAAUUAAUACUUUGCUGUUUUGACGUUACCGACAGAAUAAGCACCGGCUAACUCUGUGUCAGCAGCCGCGGUAAU